rnacentral:rRNA from 1 species
CAAAGAUUAAGCCAUGCAUGUCUCAGUACAAGCCAAAUUAAGGUGAAACCGCGAAAGGCUCAUUAAAUCAGUUAUGGUUCCUUAGAUCGUACCCACAUUUACUUGGAUAACUGUGGUAAUUCUAGAGCUAAUACAUGCAAACAGAGCUCCGACCGGAGACGGAAGGAGCGCUUUUAUUAGAUCAAAACCAAUCGGUGGCGGGUCCGUCCCGUCACCGUACACCUUGGUGACUCUGAAUAACUUUUUGCUGAUCGCACGGUCUCGCACCGGCGACGCAUCUUUCAAAUGUCUGCCUUAUCAACUGUCGAUGGUAGGUUCUGCGCCUACCAUGGUUGUAACGGGUAACGGGGAAUCAGGGUUCGAUUCCGGAGAGGGAGCCUGAGAAACGGCUACCACAUCCAAGGAAGGCAGCAGGCGCGCAAAUUACCCACUCCCGGCACGGGGAGGUAGUGACGAAAAAUAACGAUACGGGACUCAUCCGAGGCCCCGUAAUCGGAAUGAGUACACUCUAAACCCUUUAACGAGGAUCAAUUGGAGGGCAAGUCUGGUGCCAGCAGCCGCGGUAAUUCCAGCUCCAAUAGCGUAUAUUAAAGUUGUUGCGGUUAAAAAGCUCGUAGUCGAAUUUGUGUCCCGCGCCGCCGGUUCAUCGCUCGCGGUGUCAACUGGCGUGUCCGCGGGACGUCCUGCCGGUGGGCUUAGCCCCCCCGUGGGCGGCCCAAUCUCAAUCCCACCGCGGUGCUCUUCACUGAGUGUCGAGGUGGGCCGGCACGUUUACUUUGAACAAAUUAGAGUGCUUAAAGCAGGCUAAAACUUCGCCUGAAUACUGUGUGCAUGGAAUAAUGGAAUAGGACCUCGGUUCUAUUUUGUUGGUUUUCGGAACCCCGAGGUAAUGAUUAAUAGGAACGGAUGGGGGCAUUCGUAUUGCGACGUUAGAG